UACGUAGGGUGCAAGCGUUGUCCGGAAUUAUUGGGCGUAAAGGGCUCGUAGGCGGUCUGUCGCGUCGGGAGUGAAAACUCGGGGCUUAACCCCGAGCCUGCUUCCGAUACGGGCAGACUAGAGGUAUGCAGGGGAGAAUGGAAUUCCUGGUGUAGCGGUGAAAUGCGCAGAUAUCAGGAGGAACACCGGUGGCGAAGGCGGGUCUCUGGGCAGUAACUGACGCUGAGGAGCGAAAGCGGUGGGAGCAACAGG
rnacentral:rRNA from 1 species